rnacentral:lncRNA from 1 species
GUUAGGAAUGGGAAAAUUAAAAUUAAGAAAAGGGAGAUGGGCUGAGAGAUAGAUCAAUGUUGAGCCGGUGGGCUUAUCAGCUGAUAGGGGGCACAGAAGUAGCGGUCAGGCUUUCACUGAUGAGACACAAUCCAUCAUUUAGAAACUUUUGCACUUAAUUUCAGAGCAAACUUCCCCGUAUACUUGGAUUGUUUGAAAUGAAAGCUUCUUUUCUCCAUUUAUGUUUGCAGCAGCAGCCCACACACACCGGGUGGACAUUGACUGUGUUUGCUUAUUGAUCUCUCAAAGGUCACGACCUUGUAGCCCUAAUCCAUUGUGAUGAUGAAGACAGAUGAUUUGGAGAGUGAUGAACCCUCCCUUAAAACAUAUCAUGUUAGUUUUCCUUUUCACAAUAAAAAAGGUUAAUCAAAUGCUAUACUGUUUUGUGAAUGCAUGUCAUUUUACAGCAGAGUGUUACAGUUUAUAUACCAUACACUGGCCCCUCUUUACAAGUCUCUCUGGCAGUCGCUCCACCCCUGCACAGGUGGGUCCCAUUGUAGCGUGUGCACUGUGCACUGUUUGCUGUUCUGCUGAAGUGUUGGCAUGAUGAGGGUAAUUGGAGUGUCGGUCUGGUGAAUCAGUGCCAGCCUGGGUGGGCAGAUUGCAUAUGAUGAUCAUGUUCUGACCAGAUGGCUAGCUGGCACAAGGGCCGGGUGUGUGUAUGUGUUUGUCCACAUGUGAGUGUAAGUGCAUGUGUGUGUGUGUUGGGCAGAGUAAAAAAAGCUGUACAUUGUGACUGCUCAAUGAGAGCAUAUAUUGAGCUGUCAUGCAAAAAAAUAUUGUAAAUAAAUAAAUAAGAUGCCUGAAUUUUUGUCUCACCAGUACAGAGAACAUGGUCAGUUUUUUGUCAAGUCUAGGACUUGGACAACUUGAGUCCUAGUUUUCAGGCCUCAUGACUUGACUUGGAUUAAAGUCACCCUGUUUGUUAUAAAUGUUACAUUUAUUUUCAGGUCUUGACUGGGUAUAAAUAAUAACACAGAUAAUGAGGAUUAAAUUCAGGUUUGGUGAGUCAUUACAACACCAAUUCAGCCUACGGCCAGGCUAAUAGUUGUAAGGAAGCAACAGGUCUUCUACAUUUGAUCAAUUCGCUGAGAUCCAUCUCCAUCCACUCUGCUGGCAACUAGUUCUAAAAUGAGGAAAUGCUCUCAAGGUGUAUUUACUUUUACCUUCCCCCUGUGUUAGCUUUUACUAUGCACCCACUGUGUUAAUGGUUCAGUUUCGACCCAUGUCUUAAAUCAGCUGCAAAAUAAACUUAAAACAAUUCUCUAUUAUCCAGUUUGGUUCUCAUCUCUAGGUUACCUUGUUAGGCUUCAUUAUCCAUAAAAAUAUUGCUUAUAAUAGUUUUUGUUGUGGGCCUCUGGGCCUUUCUUUGUCAGUAUACCCCUCACACAGAAAUCUCACAAGUCUUGACAUGCCUGACGUUGUGCAUUGUGCAGGAAAAAAAAAAAAAAAAAAAACAGGCAAAAUGAGAAUUUCCUAAAUCUCCCAUGAUUGAAAGAGGAUCUGACUGUCAGUGUGGUGCCUGACAUCGCACGUGUGAUUUUAGUUUUUGCUCUAAUUAUUGAUUUUUUUUUAAUCUAACCAGGUCAACAGCAACCCUAACAUGACAUAUGCCAUAAUUUUAAUAAGAACAUUGUAUAAUUUAGUCAACUUAAUUUUUUAAAUUCUUAUUUUGUUGAAAUAGAGAUUGCUGACAAAGUCAAAACGUCUUGAUGCGAAAAAGCUAAUUUAUGUGGUUUUUUUAAGCAUUUAAAAACAAAAACGGGUCGGUGCAGACCCUAACACAGGAGAAGGGUUUAGCACAUUACUGUUUUUUAAAAGAUAUGAUCUUGGCCCAGUGAGGAAGAAAAAUAUUAAAAAGAUGCACUGCAAGACUGGCACACCUUAGUGUAGCAAGUCGGCUGCUUGCUUUUGCAGUUCAUACUGGUAUUUACAGUAGAUCACACUGGUAUAUAGUUGGUAUCUUACUUUUUAGACACAGGACCAGAAGUAUUAAAGAGCUAAAUUUAUCAGCAGAUACACACAAUGCUUUCAUUACUUUCCUGAACUGUUGGAUUACAUAUUUCAAAGAGUAUAAGUUUUGGGGUUUAAAUCUGAUUCAAGUACAAUAUAUCUAUAAAUAACUUUGUUUUCUGCCAGUGACUUGGAAAACAAAUUCCAUCCUAAAGUAAUAGCUUUAAGGUAUAAGCAGUAAAAGGUCCUUUUAUUAGACUUAUUGAAUGCUUUGAGCUAAAGGUAGAAUGAUUAAACUAGUUGGACCGGUUGGAAUGGGAAGUGAGUGAACAGGUCUCUCUUGAAAAAGGGUCCAAAGGGUCAGUUCCACAGCUUUGGAUACUGAGACGGGCCUCGGUAAAAUGUUUGUGCAGAGGGAUUGGUCUACGCUCCUUUGGGGGAAUUAAUGUAAGUCAAGAAACAUAUACAGUGGCAAACAAGAGCAUUUUUCUUUCUCCUUGCACACAUUUGAUUCCAACUUCUUCCUCUGCAUCAUAACAGCGGACCCGCUCACUGACCACACAGCGGUGGCCGUCCCAUGUUCCCGCCUCAAACACAAGCCACUUAGAAAUGUAUUACUUUGGAAGAUGACAAAUGGCUCCGGCAAAGUUUUGCACAUGCAGCCGGAUAAAGUUUAUCUUUAGGGCAUGUGCAGCUGCCAGCAAUACUUCCAGAAAACUUUAAUCUUCUCUUUCAGUGGCUCACUUCCUAUUUCUGUGGGGGAGAGUUGAUGGGAGGCAGACCGGGGGUGUUUUGACACCCGUCUGAGGAAACCAGCGCAGCGAGUGGGCCUGCUGCUGCCUCUGUAGCUGUGCAGCCUGUCUCCUGUAGUUCCUGCUGGCUGUUUCUGUGUUACUUAGUGCUCUGGCUACUUAAUUAGAGCUUGGAGUUGUGGUGGAAAGAACACAGUUGGAGCAGAAAACCUCUCCCAGUUUUCUGCCAACUAGAGGAAGGUGCUUUUAUAUGGAAAGAUCCAUCAGCGUGAUCUGAUGAGGUGUUGAUAAAUGAUUAACCUGCAGGCUUCACACUGAGAAGCUCAUAAAUGUUACAGAUAUGUGAUCCACGUGCAGGCAGAUAUUUCCUGGAGUUAAGUUGCGCACUCUCACACAUCAGCGGAUGAACAUCAUUACAGCGAUGCCGUACGGCGGCACACCAAACAAAUAAAUUAAAAAAGCAUGGAGCAAAGCAAACUGGCAACAGUAAACACUAUUGAUGUGGCCUGCAGAUUUCAUUACAACACUUUGCUGUUUCAACUAAUGACUAACUUCUUCAGCAAAAUCAAACAUAGUGAGGGCAGCGGUGAAAGGCAGAAGGGAGAGGAGGGGGUUGGGGGAGAGGAGGAUGGGUAGAGGGGCAUUACUGGCUUGGCUGUCAGAGGGGGGCUCAGGCCAAGUGGGAAAACGUCAGCACUGUCAAUGGGAAGGAGGGUUUGAUGUUGCAAUGAUAGGCCUCUGUAAUGGGCACUUUGG